GCGAUACAGGGUGACAGCCCCGUACACAAAAAUGCACAUAUUGUGAGCUCGAUGAGUAGGGCGGGACACGUGGUAUCCUGUCUGAAUAUGGGGGGACCAUCCUCCAAGGCUAAAUACUCCUGACUGACCGAUAGUGAACCAGUACCGUGAGGGAAAGGCGAAAAGAACCCCGGCGAGGGGAGUGAAAAAGAACCUGAAACCGUGUACGUACAAGCAGUGGGAGCCUCUUAAUGGGGUGACUGCGUACCUUUUGUAUAAUGGGUCAGCGACUUAUAUUCUGUAGCAAGGUUAACCGAAUAGGGGAGCCGAAGGGAAACCGAGUCUUAACUGGGCGUUAAGUUGCAGGGUAUAGACCCGAAACCCGGUGAUCUAGCCAUGGGCAGGUUGAAGGUUGGGUAACACUAACUGGAGGACCGAACCGACUAAUGUUGAAAAAUUAGCGGAUGACUUGUGGCUGGGGGUGAAAGGCCAAUCAAACCGGGAGAUAGCUGGUUCUCCCCGAAAGCUAUUUAGGUAGCGCCUCGUGAAUUCAUCUCCGGGGGUAGAGCACUGUUUCGGCAAGGGGGUCAUCCCGACUUACCAACCCGAUGCAAACUGCGAAUACCGGAGAAUGUUAUCACGGGAGACACACGGCGGGUGCUAACGUCCGUCGUGAAGAGGGAAACAACCCAGACCGCCAGCUAAGGUCCCAAAGUCAUGGUUAAGUGGGAAACGAUGUGGGAAGGCCCAGACAGCCAGGAUGUUGGCUUAGAAGCAGCCAUCAUUUAAAGAAAGCGUAAUAGCUCACUGGUCGAGUCGGCCUGCGCGGAAGAUGUAACGGGGCUAAACCAUGCACCGAAGCUGCGGCAGCGACACUAUGUGUUGUUGGGUAGGGGAGCGUUCUGUAAGCCUGUGAAGGUGGCCUGUGAGGGUUGCUGGAGGUAUCAGAAGUGCGAAUGCUGACAUAAGUAACGAUAAAGCGGGUGAAAAGCCCGCUCGCCGGAAGACCAAGGGUUCCUGUCCAACGUUAAUCGGGGCAGGGUGAGUCGACCCCUAAGGCGAGGCCGAAAGGCGUAGUCGAUGGGAAACAGGUUAAUAUUCCUGUACUUGGUGUUACUGCGAAGGGGGGACGGAGAAGGCUAUGUUGGCCGGGCGACGGUUGUCCCGGUUUAAGCGUGUAGGCUGGUUUUCCAGGCAAAUCCGGAAAACCAAGGCUGAGGCGUGAUGACGAGGCACUACGGUGCUGAAGCGACAAAUGCCCUGCUUCCAGGAAAAGCCUCUAAGCAUCAGGUAACAUCAAAUCGUACCCCAAACCGACACAGGUGGUCAGGUAGAGAAUACCAAGGCGCUUGAGAGAACUCGGGUGAAGGAACUAGGCAAAAUGGUGCCGUAACUUCGGGAGAAGGCACGCUGAUAUGUAGGUGAAGCGACUUGCUCGUGGAGCUGAAAUCAGUCGAAGAUACCAGCUGGCUGCAACUGUUUAUUAAAAACACAGCACUGUGCAAACACGAAAGUGGACGUAUACGGUGUGACGCCUGCCCGGUGCCGGAAGGUUAAUUGAUGGGGUUAGCGGCAACGCGAAGCUCUUGAUCGAAGCCCCGGUAAACGGCGGCCGUAACUAUAACGGUCCUAAGGUAGCGAAAUUCCUUGUCGGGUAAGUUCCGACCUGCACGAAUGGCGUAAUGAUGGCCAGGCUGUCUCCACCCGAGACUCAGUGAAAUUGAACUCGCUGUGAAGAUGCAGUGUACCCGCGGCAAGACGGAAAGACCCCGUGAACCUUUACUAUAGCUUGACACUGAACAUUGAGCCUUGAUGUGUAGGAUAGGUGGGAGGCUUUGAAGUGUGGACGCCAGUCUGCAUGGAGCCGACCUUGAAAUACCACCCUUUAAUGUUUGAUGUUCUAACGUUGGCCCGUAAUCCGGGUUGCGGACAGUGUCUGGUGGGUAGUUUGACUGGGGCGGUCUCCUCCUAAAGAGUAACGGAGGAGCACGAAGGUUGGCUAAUCCUGGUCGGACAUCAGGAGGUUAGUGCAAUGGCAUAAGCCAGCUUGACUGCGAGCGUGACGGCGCGAGCAGGUGCGAAAGCAGGUCAUAGUGAUCCGGUGGUUCUGAAUGGAAGGGCCAUCGCUCAACGGAUAAAAGGUACUCCGGGGAUAACAGGCUGAUACCGCCCAAGAGUUCAUAUCGACGGCGGUGUUUGGCACCUCGAUGUCGGCUCAUCACAUCCUGGGGCUGAAGUAGGUCCCAAGGGUAUGGCUGUUCGCCAUUUAAAGUGGUACGCGAGCUGGGUUUAGAACGUCGUGAGACAGUUCGGUCCCUAUCUGCCGUGGGCGCUGGAGAACUGAGGGGGGCUGCUCCUAGUACGAGAGGACCGGAGUGGACGCAUCACUGGUGUUCGGGUUGUCAUGCCAAUGGCACUGCCCGGUAGCUAAAUGCGGAAGAGAUAAGUGCUGAAAGCAUCUAAGCACGAAACUUGCCCCGAGAUGAGUUCUCCCUGACUCCUUGAGAGUCCUGAAGGAACGUUGAAGACGACGACGUUGAUAGGCCGGGUGUGUAAGCGCAGCGAUGCGUUGAGCUAACCGGUACUAAUGAACCGUGAGGCUUAACCUU
rnacentral:rRNA from 1 species